AUGCAUGUCUAAGUAUAAGCACUUGUACUGUGAAACUGCGAAUGGCUCAUUAAAUCAGUUAUCGUUUAUUUGAUUGUACAUUUACUACAUGGAUACCUGUGGUAAUUCUAGAGCUAAUACAUGCGAAAAGUCCCGACUUCUGGAAGGGAUGUAUUUAUUAGAUUAAAAACCAAUACGGGUCAAACCGUUCUAUUGGUGAUUCAUGAUAACUUAUCGAAUCGCAUGGCCUUGCGCCGGCGAUGUUUCAUUCAAAUUUCUGCCCUAUCAACUGUCGAUGGUAAGGUAGUGGCUUACCAUGGUCGUAACGGGUGACGGAGAAUUAGGGUUCGAUUCCGGAGAGGGAGCCUGAGAAACGGCUACCACA
rnacentral:rRNA from 1 species